rnacentral:rRNA from 1 species
AGUGAACGCUGGCGGCGUGCCUAAUACAUGCAAGUCGAACGGAGUGGCGCACGGGUGAGUAAUGUAUAGCUAAUCUGCCCUCCACUAGAGGACAACAGUUGGAAACGACUGCUAAUACUCUAUAGUGUAGGAUGAGGCUAUAUUGUAUCAGCUAGUUGGUGAGGUAAUGGCUCACCAAGGCGAUGACGCAUAACUGGUGUGAGAGGAUGAUCAGUCACACUGGAACUGAGACACGGGCCAGACUCCUUCGGGAGGCAGCAGUAGGGAAUAUUACUCAAUGGGGGAAACCCUGGAGCAGCAACGGCGCGUAGAGGAUGACACUUUUCGAAGCGUAAACUCAUUUUGUUAGGGAAGCGGUACCUAACGAAGAAGCACCGGCUAACUCCGUGCCAGCAGCCGCGGUAAUAC